AUUGAACGCUGGCGGCAUGCUUUACACAUGCAAGUCGAACGGCAGCGCGGGCUUCGGCCUGGCGGCGAGUGGCGAACGGGUGAGUAAUGCAUCGGAACGUGCCCAGCAGUGGGGGAUAGCCCGGCGAAAGCCGGAUUAAUACCGCAUACGACCUGAGGGUGAAAGCGGGGGAGCGAAAGGCCUCGCGGGAUUGGAGCGGCCGAUGUCGGUUUAGCUAGUUGGUGGGGUAAAGGCUUACCAAGGCGACGAUUCGUAGCUGGUCUGAGAGGCCGACCAGCCACACUGGGACUUGGACACGGCCCAGACUCCUACGGGAGGCAGCAGUGGGGAAUUUUGGACAAUGGGGGCAACCCUGAUCCAGCCAUGCCGCGUGCGGGAAGAAGGCCUUCGGGUUGUAAACCGCUUUUGUUCGGGAAGAAAUCCUCUGGGCUAAUACCCCGGGGGGAUGACGGUACCGGAAGAAUAAGCACCGGCUAACUACGUG
rnacentral:rRNA from 1 species